rnacentral:piRNA from 1 species
UUCUGAACACACUACGACCACUGGAA